GUGCUUUUUUGGUUCAUGAAAGUCAACACUGGGUGCUCACGCCACUGUGUGACAUGUGACUCUGCAAACCUUAUUGGGAUGUUGGCACAUUACCUGUCUGACA